AAAAGUAUAGUUUAAUAAUAAAACAAUUUUUACUUAUUUUAAAUAAGUUUAAAUAUAUAAUAGUGAAAUUCUAUUUACUUUUUU
rnacentral:tRNA from 1 species